rfam:Mangrovimonas sp. DI 80 WGS_KM_S5._contig_10, whole genome shotgun sequence.
UAACCUCUGGCGAUAUCCGUGAAUGUUA